UACGGGGGGAGCAAGCGUUGUUCGGAUUUACUGGGCGUAAAGGGCGCGUAGGCGGCCACCGCAAGUCGACUGUGAAAUCUCCGGGCUUAACCCGGAAAGGUCAGCCGAUACUGCGGGGCUAGAGUGCAGAAGGGGCAACUGGAAUUCUCGGUGUAGCGGUGAAAUGCGCAGAUAUCAGGAGGAACACCGGUGGCGAAGGCGGGUCUCUGGGCAGUAACUGACGCUGAGGAGCGAAAGCGUGGGGAGCGAACAGG
rnacentral:rRNA from 1 species